rnacentral:lncRNA from 10 species
GAGCGAGUGAGCAAAAGAAAUGACUAGUGACCAGUUGAGAAAGUCCUGUCUUCCAUUGAGCCAUUUCACUCCUGCCCAUCUACUCUCAACUGCUCAAGAGCCGCUGAACCCUCUGAACACUGUGAGGAUCAGAUGAGACAACGUGUGUGAAAACACCUUACAAAUACAAAGCUGUGAAGAUGUAAAGGAUGGUUAUUACAGAAUGGAGACGGAGUUUCAGUCUUGAUGCCCAAGCUGGAGUGCAAUGGCAUGAUCUCGGCUCACCACAACCUCCGCCUCCCAGGU